rnacentral:rRNA from 1 species
AAUAUUGGACAAUGGGCGCAAGCCUGAUCCAGCCAUGCCGCGUGAGUGAUGAAGGCCCUAUGGGGUACAAGCUCUUGAAACGUUGAAGCUAACUAGCGUUACCGUAGAAGAAGCCCCGGCUAACUUCGUGCCAGCAGCCGCGGUAAUACGAAGGGGGCUAGCGUUGUUCGGAAUUACUGGGCGUAAAGCGCACGUAGGCGGAUCGAUCAGUUAGGGGUGAAAACCCAGGGCUCAACCCUGGAACUGCCUCUAAUACUGUCGAUCUUGAGUUCGAGAGAGGUGAGUGGAAUUCCGAGUGUAGAGGUGAAAUUCGUAGAUAUUCGGAGGAACACCAGUGGCGAAGGCGGCUCACUGGCUCGAUACUGACGCUGAGGUGCGAAAGCGUGGGGAGCAAACA